rnacentral:lncRNA from 1 species
GCUGACAAAAAGCCUACGGCAGGAGUCAAGACUGAAAACAACAGUCACAUGAAUUUGAAGGUGGCAGGGAAGAUGGUUUGUGGUACAGUUUAAAGUUAAGAGCCAUAUAUCACUUAGUAAGCUAAUGAAAGCCUAUUGUGAAUGACAGGAUUUGCCAGUGAGGUAGAGCAGAUUCUGAUUUGAUAGGCAGCCAAUCAGUCAAACAGACACACCUGCACAGGUGCACAUGGAGGAUGAAGAUACAAUUGAUGGGGUCCAGCAUCAGACAGCAAGUACCU